ACACACUCUUAUUUCAUCCGGCCUGGGGAGGAGGGGAAAGAGGAAGUCACCUGUGAAAUUGUCUUUGCGCUUUGGACUCAAGCCCCCAGAUGCCUUUGGAUAAUUCCUGCUUGCUAAAGAGGCGGGGCCUUAGUCCUCAUCGGCAGAUGGUUUGGAGACUGAAUCAACUAUCUGAGCCUUCAUCUACCACAUAAGAAUUCCAGCAAACCCUGCAGCUAUCCUGAAGCUGUCAUGCUGGAAAGGCCAAUUGGGAGACCACAUAGAGACCGAGAGAGACUUCCAAGGACUCCAGCCAAUCCUGGGCCCCAGCAAUUUGAAUCUCCCAGCAAUGCCACCAUACAGGAGAGGGAGCAAAUACUCAGAAGAUUCAAGUGCCAGCUGCACGGGUUGAUACCUACAUAAAAGGCACUGGCAUUAUUCACAAGAGCCAAGAUAUGGAAAUAACCUGUGUCCAUUGACAGACGAAUAGAUGAAGGAAAUGUGGCAUAUACACACAAUGUAAUAUUAUUCGGACUUAAAAAAAGAAGGAAAUCCUGAAUCCUGCUAUUUCUGACAACAUGAAACUGCAGGACAUUAUG
rnacentral:lncRNA from 1 species